rnacentral:snRNA from 1 species
AACCUUUAAUACUUGUAGUUUU